GGGCUUUGCUCCUAUCGAAAGUGUUCGUCAGGGUGAUUUUUGAUGACCACAAUCCAGAAGUGCUGGCGUCCGAAUGCAUUUUCUUUUGCUUGGCCAAGAAGAGUCGUGAACUUCAAAACCCCCGACACGGAUUAUCAAUCCUGCUUUGCAGGGAAGGAAAACCCUCAAUCCCCUGCCCCCCCGCCACCCCUCUCCGGAGAUUCUGCAAUCGCUGAGGCGCUCCGAGUCGGAAGGGGACGCUUUGGGAAUGACCAUGCUCCACGGAGGGACAGAGCCGGCCCCCAGCUUCUCUACACAGAACCUCCUCCACUAAAGCUCCAAAAAUCAAAAACCGUAAUUGCCAGAAGAAGCAUUAAAAAAAUAGCCCAGCCACUAACCUCACAUGCAAAUGGAAUAAUUACUCUGGAUUCUGCAUUGUGAGCUGCUCUCCAUAUCCUGAAUUACCUCUGAAUUCAGUCUUUUUUCUUUGAAUUUGCAUCUCUUCAAGACACAAGAUUAAAACAAAAUUCACGCAAAAUUGGAUUUUAAAUUAUCUUCCUUUCAUUUAUCCUUCGUCUUUCUUAUAUGGAUAUGCCAGCGAGAAGAGGAGACUGGACAUUCCCAACAUGCUCACUCCCUUAAUCUGUCCGUCUAGAGGUUUGUCUUCUACAAACCAAGGUA